CCGUGCUAGGCGGGGAACUAGCGGUGCCCUGCACCCGCAAUCCGCUAUAGCGGGGCUGAAUCCCUGUUCGAGAUCUGUGUCUCCACAUACCGCUCUGUCCAUCGGCGAUGAGGGCUGGGUCCUGCGCGGCAGAGUGCUAUGAACCCCGUCAGGUCCGGAAGGAAGCAGCGGUAAAUAGAGAGCUCUGGGUGCCGCAGGGUUUCCUGGCAGGAGCCAACGGGCAGAGUAGGCCGUAGAGACACGGGUCGACAACGGGUGCACGG
rnacentral:SRP_RNA from 1 species